CAGUACAUUGGGUUUUUCACAGUCCAUCAUAAUAAAUACUUUUUGGCAACUUAUGUAUUGUUGUCUAAGGUUCAUUCCGAAACGCAUUCUCUCCACCAAAGCCCAAAGCUUACUAGCAUUAUAAAGAUAUCCAUCAAGUUUAAGAGGUGUCACCACAUUUUUGUAGAGAUGUAUAUGGGGGGCAGUGCAAAGACUCAUAUUGCAGUGUAAGAUCAGUCAUGCAUCGUACCCAGUUUCUCUCUAGAAACAUGAUGAGAAGCUAUGACUUAGCAGAGCAGUAUGGCUGCAUCAAUUGUUCUAGAACUGGUUCAAGAAAGAAGGUUAGGUUAGUUAGGCUACAUGUGAUCGUGCGUCACCAUAACUGAAACAUGGCCUUCUUUCUUUCACGGUUUCACGUCAUGGUGCAAGUAUUUGCAUAAACUGGGAAACAUUUGCAUACAUUUCAAUUUCUCUGGCCGGCAGUGAAGGGGUUAAUCAGCUGUGUGCUCUCAGUAUACGCUCACUAGCAGAAUCUGUCUGCCACAGCUUCUGCGCUUAUCUUCUAUCACAGCGCUGAAAACCAGAGGUGUUUCCAGAGGACAACAACACAGAGCUGGUUAGAGAAGCUUCAAACCAAACCACGUACGCACACACACACACACAGAUCUUGGAGCAGUUGACCUCCACAUUAGCCACUAAUAUCUGACAUCAGUAUAGUUUAUAAAAGUGUAUCUGUUUGUCUCUGUCUUUCAGUUUCUGUUUAGACUACAUCAAAGAUAGAGAAGCUGUGCAGCCACACCAUGUUCAAUCAUGUUACCUAAUUAGCUAGCUAGCUAGCUGACAAUCUGUUUGACCUGUAGCAUAUAAACAUUUGUUGACGCAGAAAGAAAGGGGAUUUAAAAAUGAUUGAUUGAAAUUCCCCCUGCCACAUUCUGACUGGGUUAACAACUUAAUAUUAAGUUAAUAUGGACCCAUUGUCUUAGACUUGAAAUCUUGGACCGGGAUUCAAACACAGGGACUUGUGACUCGACUCAAACAUUGACGACUUUGACUCAAUUCAGAGUUAGCCACAGGGUGUUGUGAAUUGACUCAGACUUAUGCUUUAGUGACUCGACUACAACACUGCUGCCAUGACAUGGCUACUACUACUGCUACAACUAACACUUCAAGUUUUUAUACUACUUCUAUAUUGCAUGAUCUUUAAAAAAAAAUCCAUUCAUUUCCCUGUAAUCUGCUGAGAUUGUGAUAGUUUUCAGGUUUUGGAGGGAGUUUUCACUGGAUUUACUAGAAAUGUGAAAUUGACCUGGCAAACCUGUCUUUGCCUGAGCAUGAUCACAACAAAAGUAGCUGUGCAGCACGUUUUUUAAGGAAGAGGAGGAUGGUUGCAGACGUUCGCAUUCAUGCAAGAAGCCCAACUUGUCUUCCUUUACGCAGGCACUGCAGAGGCUAAGAAGACGCAUGGAAACUCUAUAAGAAACAUAAUUCAACGUGUAGGCCAGAUUUGAAAAGGAAAUAAUAAAUCCUGAAGCUCAGAUGUCAGACACCGAGGCUGCCAGUACCGUAUACGUAAGUUAGUGUCAUUCAACACCAGCACAUACUUUGGAUACAAGACUGAUGACUCAAUAACUAGUAUUGACAACCUUGAAGAUGUUAUGUCCCAGGGCCAUCAGGUUCAUCAGAGGAAGGCAAUUUCUCUGAAAAAAAUCUGACCGGAGAGAUGUCAGCGAUUCGGGCCAAUGACCAAGGGAAAGCUGGGACAAAAGAGAGAAAUGGAUGCUGCGGCCACUGAUUGCGCAUCAGAGAAUGACUCUGAGAAAGAGGAGUCAUCUGAAGAAUCCUAUGAAGAAAAUUUGACCGGAGAAAUGUCAGCGAUUCGGGCCAAACAACCAAUAACCAAGGGAAGACUGGGACAAAAGAGAGGCUCACACGGUGACAAAGGAACAAAAAGGUAUUGGUCAACAAUAGAGGUGGAUGCAGUUGAAGAUUCCUUGAUGAACUUUAUCCGAAUGGGGAAAAAUGCCUGGAAAACGCAUUCAUUGCUGCUUCUCCCCAAGCGCUAGUAAACAGGGACUGGAGAGCAGUACAGUUCUAUGUACACAACAGAAUAGUUGCAGAUCAGAGAAAAUAAGUGUAUGAGAUGCUUCUGGCUCUCUUGGUGUACUUCUGAGGAUUUAAUGGGACUUACUUGACUUAAGCUCAUAGGCAGAUGACGAAUGUCCUCUAUCUCACUGUUCAGGGGAAGUUUUUCCUGGUGGAUGGUUCACUUUUGGAGUGACUAAGGUCUCAAGAAUACAAAGCCUGCUGACUU